GAAUUUCUCAACUGUAAUGAGCAUAAUUUCAUCUCCUCCACAGGAUGUUGAAAGAGUUAAAAGAGAUGGCUGUCGAAGUAGCUGGCACAGGAGACCUGGCAAGGAGUGACCACUCAAGUGUUAACUGAACUGGAUUGAAAAACUGAACAUUCCUCACAAGGAAUGCUGUGAAGAUUCAGGACUCAAGGCUGUUAUUCCUAUGGGAGCCUAAAUGCAUGAAUUUUCAGUUGUUGGUGCUGUGGCUGCGGUUGUUUUUAACAACAACAAAAAACAAAAAGUAAUUCCAACUGCUUUGGUAUUUAAGCCUUUGGAAUAACAUCUUUAACACUGAUAUGGUAUAAAAUUUUGAGAUCAUGACUGGUUUUGUGGGGGGGGGGGUGUGUGAGAUAAGGAGUCUAAAAUGCUCCUUCAGCCCCCUCCCCAUAUCAAUGCCUUUGCAUUCUCACAACUCUUCUUCCCACCACCUUUUGCAGUAAAGCAUUAAUUUACUUACCAACAUUUGAUUAAACUCUUAAGGUUCAACCCUAGAGGAGGUGGCAGUGGACAAAGAAUUAUUGUCAUUCAUCAUCAACACAUUUUAGACUUCCCCUCCAGUUGCCUAUGAAGGAUUAGCAUUUUCCUGAAAGGAGGAGGACAGAAUAAAUUGCAUCUACGGCCAAAGAACUGCCAACUCCUUUCAGCUGGGGGCACAUACCGGGAGCUUUUCCCAUAUUAGUCAGCUUUAUCUCAACUUUUGGGCAGGGCCUACAUCUGAAUUUCAUGGGUUUCAGGGUCAGUCAAAACAGAAUUGUAGGGUUGUUGAGGUCAGAGGCCACCUCUGUCAAAGGGUAGUGACCUUAACAGCAAGAGGUAGUCAGGCCUCCUCUUUCUCCCCCACCGCACCCCACCCCACCCCAAUGACUUCAUUCCAGCCAGUGCUUGGCUCAUUGCUCCUCCCCUGCAGAGCUUUUUUCAACCUGGUAAUAAAAAAUCCUCCUGUG
rnacentral:lncRNA from 1 species